GAUGAACGCUAGCUACAGGCUUAACACAUGCAAGUCGAGGGACCGGCGCACGGGUGAGUAACACGUAUCCAACCUGCCCUUUACUCGGGGAUAGCCUUUCGACAGAAAGAUUAAUACCCGAUGUAAAGGAUGGGGAUGCGUUCCAUUAGGUUGUAGGUGAGGUAACGGCUCACAAAGGCUUCGAUGGAGAGGGGUUCUGAGAGGAAGGGCCCCCACAUUGGAACUGAGAUCCGGUCCAAACUCGUACGGGAGGCAGCAGUGAGGAAUAUUGGUCAAUGGGCGCUAGCCUGAACCAGCCAAGUAGCGUGAAGGAUGAAGGCUUAUGGGUCGUAAACUUCUUUUAUAUAAGAAUAUGUAUUAUAUGAAUAAGGAUCGGCUAACUCCGUGCCAGCCGCCGCGGUAAUAC
rnacentral:rRNA from 1 species